UACAGAGGUCCCGAGCGUUGUUCGGAUUCAUUGGGCGUAAAGGGCGCGUAGGUGGCUCGGCACGUCCGUUGUGAAAUCGCUCGGCUCAACUGGGCGAGGUCAGCGGAUACGGUCGAGCUUGAGCCAGCUAGGGGGCAAUGGAAUUCCCGGUGUAGUGGUGGAAUGCGUAGAUAUCGGGAGGAACACCAGUGGCGAAGGCGGUUGCCUGGGGCUGUGCUGACGCUGAUGCGCGAAAGCGUGGGGAGCGAUCCGG
rnacentral:rRNA from 1 species